UUGGCUUUCAGCUCACAGGGAAGAUGAAGCCCAAAUACAACAGAUACCAAGGCAAGCUUGCUGAAGAGCAGCUCAACCCAUACUGGUUCUCAGAGUCAUUCUAAGGAUAAAGCUGUCUCUCCAUGGAGAAAGGCCUUCUUCACAAAAAUGACUUCACAGAGUACAGAGGAGAUCAGACUGCUUAGCAGAAAAUUUUGGGACGUAAAGACAGUAUAUACCAUACAUGGACCAUCCCAGGCCAGGAAAAACCUAUUAAACAUUUCCUUGGAAACAAUAUGAGCUAUACCUGGGACUGGAAGCAUCAGCAGUUAUUCGUCAACAAGGAAGGACAAUUACAUUCAUUGGGACUGCCUGUACACUAUUCUUGUGGAGAGUAAUUUCUGCCUACUAAAAGAGAUAGAUUCCAAACUUAGAUAUGUGGGAAAUCAUUUGGUAUUUAAUAGAACUCAAGUCAUUCACAUAGCCCUAGAAAAUGAUAAUUAAUAAGGAGCUAUGCAUUGAAAAUGAAUAACAGCAAGCCUUUAAAAUGAAAAUCCUUACAAUAAAGGAAUAGCUGUUAUUAUUAUGUUAGUAUUACUUAGUAUUAAAAAGGUCAAGAUACUGUCAUCAGAUUUCUUUCCCAUCUACGUAAUUCCUAGACCUCCAGGUAAUCUUCAUGCCAUUUUCUGAAAUGGAAUGCCGCUUUAAAGAUUUUGGAAGUAAACCAUAAAACGAGGACCUUAAAGAAGCAUUGAUUUUUGCAAAUUACUAUUAAAUAAUAUCUUUAUCCUGUAUUAAUAAUUUAACCACAAUGUUCGUUAAAUAAUCUAAAACUUUGACUACUUUAGAAAAUAUCCAGUAUUAUCUGAAACCAAAUAUUAGGGUUUCAAAUGAGUUGGAACUUGGAUCUGGGGUAAGAAAAACUCUCAUGUCCCUCCCUCCCUCCCUUCCUUCUUUCCUCUCUCUCUUCCUUUCUUCUAUUCAUCCUUUCUUUUUUCAUACUUCUGGCCUUUUGGUGCCCCUUAUCUAUAUCUAGGGUAACAUUUAAGUGGAAGAGAUUCUAGAAAAAAACAGUGUGUGGCAUUCACAUACAGAGAGGUAUUUGCAAGGCAAGAUGUUGUAGUUUCUGCCAUUCCCAUGAAUCCUCUAUGAAGAUGUUUGUCCCUCAAUUGUUGAUGCAGAUAGUCAAAGAUUAUCCCUUUAAUCUUUAACAGUGUCAAAGUUAAUGUAUACCCUUUACUUUUCAACACUGUCAAUGUUAAUAUAAACCUUUUAAUUUUUAACAUAUUCAAAGUUAAUAUAAAUCCCAUUAAUGUUUCUCAGUUGAUCAAACACAGGAAUGAUCACUAUGAACUAGUUGUAUCAGUAGUUUUUCCAUUCAGUAGCCAGUACAUAUUUGGGGGUAUGAUAUCAUCAAUGGUCGUAGUGAUAACUGCCCUUAGUUAUAGCAUUUUUAAUACAAAAUCAUAUCACCUUUAUUAUUUCAUUUGAGACUCCCAUAGACCACUGCUUGCUAUUCCAGAAACUGUUCCCAAUUGCGUCUGCCAUUUCAUGCCCUCUCCUGAGUGCUGCCGCUCCCUCUCCCCUGAGUUUUAUUCUCUACUCCUUCCUUCAUCCUUCCAAGCACAGUUAACACAGGUUAUUGUGUUUAAUACACUGUACUAAAUGUAUUGGUUUCUUAGCGCUAUCAUAACAAACUACCACAAACUGAGGGGCUUAAACAACAAAAAUUUAUUGUCUCUCAGUUCUGGAGUCUAAAGUCUGAAAUCAAGAGGUCAGCAAGGGUAUUCUAUCUGAGGACUUUCUCCUUAACCUGUUGAUGGUUAUAUUCUCCUUAUGCCUCUAAUAUCGUCUUCCCUUUGUACUCUCUUUGUUUUUGUAUCCCAGUUGCUAGUCCUAUAAGGAUGUCAGUCAUACUGCACCAGGGUCCAGCCUAAUGACCUCUUUUAAACUUGAUUAUCUCUGUAAAGACCUCGUCUUCAA